UGCUACCUUGUUACGACUUCACCCCAGUCGCUGAAUCCACUGUGGAGGGUAGCUAUCUUAGCAUCCCCGCUUCGAAUGAGUUCAACUCCCAUGGUGUGACGGGCGGUGAGUACAAGACCCGGGAACGUAUUCACCGUAGCAUUGCUGAUCUACGAUUACUAGCGAUUCCAACUUCAAGUAGUCGAGUUGCAGACUACUAUCCGAACUGGGAGGCAUUUUUGAGAUUUGCUCCACGUCACCGUAUCGCUGCUCUUUGUAUGCCCCAUUGUAGCACGUGUGUAGCCCUGGACGUAAGGGCCAUGAUGACUUGACGUCGUCCACACCUUCCUCCUGGUUGCCCAGGCAGUCUCGUUAGAGUUCUCAGCCGAACUGUUAGCAACUAACGACGUGGGUUGCGCUCGUUGCGGGACUUAACCCAACAUCUCACGACACGAGCUGACGACAGCCGUGCAGCACCUGUCCUACAGCUUCUGCAAGCAGACACUCUCUCAUCUCUGAAAAAUUCUGUAAAUGUCAAGUCCAGGUAAGGUUCUUCGCGUAUCGUCGAAUUAAACCACAUGCUCCACCGCNUGUGCGGGUCCCCGUCUAUUCCUUUGAGUUUUAAUCUUGCGA
rnacentral:rRNA from 1 species